UGUAGAUAAUAGCUGUGGCAAGUAAAGGAGGCCAGAGGCUGUCCAGAGAAUGUCUUUUGCGUUAUUCACUAACAACCUCUGCUGUAAACUUAACUGGUCUUGUAUUACUAUAAAUGACAAUGAAAGUAACUUUGUAAAACAAAGACUUACACUUGCUUAAAAGAGCUGUAAAAAGAAAUCCUGCAACAACUUCAGCAACUGAAUCAGAUUUUCAAUAUGAGGUUGUGCGUUUUUUGCGUGGUGCAUCAGACCGCAAUGGCGGAAAAAAAGUUUGACAAAACCAAAAAAAAAAACAAGC